CCCCGCACAAGCAGCGGAGCGUGUGGUUUAAUUCGAUGAUACACGAAGAACCUUACCAGGGUUUGACAUGCUAGUGUAGGGAUCCGAAAGGUGACCGACCCUCGGGGAGCUAGCACAGGUGCUGCAUGGCUGUCGUCAGCUCGUGUCGUGAGAUGUUCGGUUAAGUCCGCUAACGAGCGCAACCCUUGCUGUGUGUUACAUGUGUCACACGGGACUGCCGGUCUUAAACCGGAGGAAGGUGGGAUGACGUCAAGUCAGCAUGGCCUUUAUGUCCUGGGCUACACACACGCUACAAUGGCCGGUACAAUAGGUUGCGAAGCCGCGAGGCGGAGCCAAUCCUCAAAGCCGGCCUCAGUUCAGAUUGCAGGCUGCAACCCGCCUGCAUGAAGAUGGAGUUGCUAGUAACCGCAGGUCAGCUAUACUGCGGUGAAUACGUUCCCGGGGCUU
rnacentral:rRNA from 1 species